GCCCUGGUGGUGCAAGGGUUAAGCACUUGGCUGCUAGCCUCACAAGUUUGGUGGUUCAAACCCAUCCAGGGGCU
rnacentral:tRNA from 1 species